GCCGGUAUAGCUCAGCUGGUAGAGCAACUGACUUGUAAUCAGUAGGUCCCGGGUUCGAUUCCUGGUGCCGGCA
rfam:Pseudomonas tuomuerensis strain JCM 14085 PT85_4, whole genome shotgun sequence.